GUUCGGGGGACAGGGUGACAAGUGGUGCAUGGUUGUCGUCAGCUCGUGUCGUGAGAUGUUGGGUUAAGUCCCGCAACGAGCGCAACCCUCGACCUUAGUUGCCAGCAUUCAGUUGGGCACUCUAAGGUGACUGCCGGCUAAAAGUCGGAGGAAGGUGGGGAUGACGUCAAAUCAUCAUGCCCCUUAUGACCUGGGCUACACACGUGCUACAAUGGGCGGUACAAAGGGUCGCGAAACCCGCGAGGGGGAGCCAAUCCCAAAAAGCCGACUCUCAGUUCGGAUUGCAGGCUGCAACUCGCCUGCAUGAAGCCGGAAUCGCUAGUAAUACGCGGAUCAGCAUGCCGCGGUGAAUACGUUCCCGGGCCUU
rnacentral:rRNA from 1 species